UGCGCGUGCGCGGCAGAGUCACAAUGGCAGCCAGAUUCAGGUGCGGCCAUUUGUGUGUCCCCGAGGUUCCUCGCGGGCCGGCAUCCCACGCCGAGGGUGGUGGUGGCAGGCUUUCCAGAAAGGCAGCACACCAGGCUCAGCUCUGCUGGCGAGCAGGAGGCGACGGCAGAGGAAACUUCAACCCGAUGAACUUCCUGGUUGCGGGGACAUUUGCCUCCUCCUGCCACUCACCACCUCUGCUCUGGUCCCUCCCUCCAAGAAUCCUCAUAGCGUCCUCUCUCCCCACUCUCUCCCAUCCCGCGUCUCCCAUAUUUGCCCCAGCUUGGCUCAGGGCCACAGUUCUGCACUCUUCAGCCGGCGGCGCCACCAGCAGUUGUUUCUACGCGGGAAAUAGGGCAACAGCAUCCCAGCACAGCUGAGUGCCCAAGGAUGGUCAGCCGGGUAGGGCAAGAAGCUUCUUUCAGGGAUUCUGAUCUCACGAAACAAGAGUAAUGAUGGCACUUCACUCAGAGGUUUGUCCUGAGGCUUAAAUGAGGCAACAUGGACACAGCAUUUUAGCACAAGGCCAGGUACAGUAUGUGUAAGGAGUGUUGGCUGCUAUUUUCUCAGGCUCAUCAUCCAUCAGAUGCAAUCACUGUUCCCUGUCUUUGAAUUGUGCCUUUAUUGGUGAAAAGCUGUGUAAGCAGCUCAUUCUCAAACAGCACAAUAAUCCCAGUAGGCUUUAACUCAAAAACUCCA
rnacentral:lncRNA from 1 species